GUGUAGCUCAAUGGUAGAGCACUUGCCUAGCAUGCAAGAAGUCCUGAGUUUGAUCUCCAGCAC
rnacentral:tRNA from 1 species